rnacentral:rRNA from 1 species
UACGGAGGGGGCUAGCGUUGUUUCGGAAUUACUGGGCGUAAAGGGCGCGUAGGCGGCACGGCAAGUCAGGAGUGAAAGCCCUGGGCUCAACCCGGGAACUGCUUUUUUGAAACUGCCGAGCUAGAGUGCGGAAGGGGCAACUGGAAUUCCCAGUGUAGCGGUGAAAUGCGUAGAUAGUUGGGAAGAACACCUGAGGCGAAGGCGGGUUUGCUGGGCCGACACUGACGCUGAGGCGCGAAAGCUAGGGGAGCGAACGGG